rnacentral:rRNA from 1 species
AGCUACUAAGAGCGAAUGGUGGAUGCCUUGACUGGUAAAGGCGAUGAAGGACGUACUAGACUGCGAUAAGCUACGGGGAGCUGUCAAGAAGCUUUGAUCCGUAGAUUUCCGAAUGGGGCAACCCAAUGUAUAGAGAUAUACAUUACCUAUAUAGGAGCGAACGAGGGGAAUUGAAACAUCUUAGUACCCUCAGGAAAAGAAAUCAAUAGAGAUUGCGUCAGUAGCGGCGAGCGAAAGCGCAAGAGGGCAAACCCAGUGCUUGCACUGGGGGUUGUAGGACUGCAAUGUGCAAGAGGUAAGUUUAGCAGAACAUUCUGGAAAGUAUAACCAUAGAGGGUGAUAGUCCCGUAUGCGAAAAACAAACCUUAGCUAGCAGUAUCCUGAGUAGGGCGGGACACGAGGAAUCCUGUCUGAAUCCGGGUCGACCACGAUCCAACCCUAAAUACUAAUACCAGAUCGAUAGUGCACAAGUACCGUGAGGGAAAGGUGAAAAGAACUGAGGUGAUCAGAGUGAAAUAGAACCUGAAACCAUUUGCUUACAAUCAUUCAGAGCCCUAUGUAGCAAUACAGGGUGAUGGACUGCCUUUUGCAUAAUGAGCCUGCGAGUUGUGGUGUCUGGCAAGGUUAAGCAAACGCGAAGCCGUAGCGAAAGCGAGUCUGAAUAGGGCGCUUAGUCAGAUGCUGCAGACCCGAAACGAAGUGAUCUAUCCAUGAGCAAGUUGAAGCUAGUGUAAGAACUAGUGGAGGACUGAACCCAUAGGCGUUGAAAAGCCCCGGGAUGACUUGUGGAUAGGGGUGAAAGGCCAAUCAAACUUCGUGAUAGCUGGUUCUCUCCGAAAUAUAUUUAGGUAUAGCGUUGUGUCGUAAUAUAAGGGGGUAGAGCACUGAAUGGGCUAGGGCAUACACCAAUGUACCAAACCCUAUCAAACUCCGAAUACCUUAUAUGUAAUCACAGCAGUCAGGCGGCGAGUGAUAAAAUCCGUCGUCAAGAGGGAAACAACCCAGACUACCAGCUAAGGUCCCUAAAUCUUACUUAAGUGGAAAACGAUGUGAAGUUACUUAAACAACCAGGAGGUUGGCUUAGAAGCAGCCAUCCUUUAAAGAAAGCGUAAUAGCUCACUGGUCUAGUGAUUUUGCGCGGAAAAUAUAACGGGGCUAAAGUAAGUACCGAAGCUGUAGACUUGCACACAACUUAGAUUAUUUAAGUUUAGAAUAUGAGAAACUAAGUUAUAUGUUUAGUUAUAUUUUUACUGAUUUUUAUAGAGUAAAGAUAGAAAUAAAACUUAGUAAAAUCAGUAAAAAUAUUCUUAGACUAAAGUUAAGUAGUUUAAGUUGUGUGCAAGUGGUAGGAGAGCGUUCUAUUUGCGUCGAAGGUAUACCGGUAAGGAGUGCUGGAGCGAAUAGAAGUGAGCAUGCAGGCAUGAGUAGCGAUAAUUAAUGUGAGAAUCAUUAACGCCGUAAACCCAAGGUUUCCUACGCGAUGCUCGUCAUCGUAGGGUUAGUCGGGUCCUAAGUCGAGUCCGAAAGGGGUAGACGAUGGCAAAUUGGUUAAUAUUCCAAUACCAACAUUAGUGUGCGAUGGAAGGACGCUUAGGGCUAAGGGGGCUAGCGGAUGGAAGUGCUAGUCUAAGGUCGUAGGAGGUUAUACAGGCAAAUCCGUAUAACAAUACUCCGAGAACUGAAAGGCUUUUUGAAGUCUUCGGAUGGAUAGAAGAACCCCUGAUGCCGUCGAGCCAAGAAAAGUUUCUAAGUUUAGCUAAUGUUGCCCGUACCGUAAACCGACACAGGUGGGUGGGAUGAGUAUUCUAAGGCGCGUGGAAGAACUCUCUUUAAGGAACUCUGCAAAAUAGCACCGUAUCUUCGGUAUAAGGUGUGGUUAGCUUUGUAUUAGGAUUUACUCCGAAAGCAAGGAAACUUACAACAAAGAGUCCCUCCCGACUGUUUACCAAAAACACAGCACUCUGCUAACUCGUAAGAGGAUGUAUAGGGUGUGACGCCUGCCCGGUGCUCGAAGGUUAAUUGAUGGGGUUAGCAUUAGCGAAGCUCUUGAUCGAAGCCCGAGUAAACGGCGGCCGUAACUAUAACGGUCCUAAGGUAGCGAAAUUCCUUGUCGGUUAAAUACCGACCUGCAUGAAUGGCGUAACGAGAUGGGAGCUGUCUCAAAGAGGGAUCCAGUGAAAUUGUAGUGGAGGUGAAAAUUCCUCCUACCCGCGGCAAGACGGAAAGACCCCGUGGACCUUUACUACAGCUUGACACUGCUACUUGGAUAAGAAUGUGCAGGAUAGGUGGGAGGCUUUGAGUAUAUGACGCCAGUUGUAUAUGAGCCAUUGUUGAGAUACCACUCUUUCUUAUUUGGGUAGCUAACCAGCUUGAGUUAUCCUCAAGUGGGACAAUGUCUGGUGGGUAGUUUGACUGGGGCGGUCGCCUCCCAAAUAAUAACGGAGGCUUACAAAGGUUGGCUCAGAACGGUUGGAAAUCGUUCGUAGAGUAUAAAGGUAUAAGCCAGCUUAACUGCAAGACAUACAAGUCAAGCAGAGACGAAAGUCGGUCUUAGUGAUCCGGUGGUUCUGUGUGGAAGGGCCAUCGCUCAAAGGAUAAAAGGUACCCCGGGGAUAACAGGCUGAUCUCCCCCAAGAGCUCACAUCGACGGGGAGGUUUGGCACCUCGAUGUCGGCUCAUCGCAUCCUGGGGCUGGAGCAGGUCCCAAGGGUAUGGCUGUUCGCCAUUUAAAGCGGUACGCGAGCUGGGUUCAGAACGUCGUGAGACAGUUCGGUCCCUAUCUGCCGUGGGCGUAAGAAGAUUGAAGAGAUUUGACCCUAGUACGAGAGGACCGGGUUGAACAAACCACUGGUGUAGCUGUUGUUCUGCCAAGAGCAUCGCAGCGUAGCUAAGUUUGGAAAGGAUAAACGCUGAAAGCAUCUAAGCGUGAAGCCAACUCUAAGAUGAAUCUUCUCUAAGCUCUCUAGAAGACUACUAGUUUGAUAGGCUGGGUGUGUAAUGGAUGAAAGUCCUUUAGCUGACCAGUACUAAUAGAGCGUUUGGCUUAUCUUUAAUAAAGCAU